rnacentral:lncRNA from 1 species
UCUUUUCUUUGAAAGAUGAGUCUCUUCUGUUUGUAAAUAUAUAAGAUGAAAGAUUGUGCAUAAUGUGUAGAAAGACGAUUGGCUUUGAAUGGAAUGAAUGAAUGACUUGUUAUGAGUAACUGACAGUCUGCUCUGGGUGGCAACUGAACCUCUUCACACCUCCUUAAGGCAGCCCUCAAAUGCUUGGGCACCACCAUAGGGUUUGAAGCUGGGGCAUCAGUUCAGGUAUGGAUGCUGUGCAGAGGGUGCCAGUUCCAAACUCAGGAAAGUCAGAUUCUGGGCCACUGCUCCUAUUCCUAACCUAAGAACCAGAGAAGUCUUACUGGGAUUUUCCUCAUUUUUAAUUAUCUUUCAAGGAUUAUGAGCGUAAAAGUUACUCGGUGGGAAAUUAUAUGUUUUCCCCUCAAGAAGUGGGUCUUCUCUGCCCACCCACUCUAGACUACCUUAAAGUUGUAACUGCCUACCUUCAGCACCAUGUCCAGUCAGAAAUGGGAAGGUUCAUGUCCUUGGCUGCUAUCCCAAACUAGUUGCCCAGAGCACUAGAGAAAAGCUCUGAGUACCCUUUGAUUUUACCUUUAGGAUAACCAAGAAUUUGCUCUAUUUCUUGGCAGGAUGCCUAAAGCCAAAAUGUGGUCUGAUGAAACAGGAAAUCAUAUUCUUUCUUCCUAAUUGUUCACUCAAAAGGAGCUAUGGGUUUUCUGUCCAGAGGAUACCACAUGGAGCAGGCGUGCUUGGAGCAGGAGCCUUCUGGUGAUGGGGCUGUUUUCCCAGGUCUAAAGAGCAUCUGUGAUGCUUCCGCUUACAUGCUUUGUGGGCAGGCCAGGACAGGUCUGAUAGGAGCAGAUCACCAUUCGCUGACAUGUUGAGACACUCCCAGUGCUCUUAGGCGUCUCUGGCAGCUCCAGCAGAAGACCUUACAGAACCGCAGGUUGCUGUAGCCGUCAGGGAAACACUGGAGAAGCUGUUGUGAUGGCAGGGCUUCUUUACUAAAGAUCAUUGCUGUUUAAUUUCGAUCAAGUUGCCCUGUCAGCUAUAGAUACAGUCUAGUACCUUUAACCUUUAAAGACAUUUGGUUUUCGCUUUGCUUUGCCUUGCUUUUUAUAUUUUGUUUCUUUUAUAUAUGAUAUUCAGCUUAGUGUUGGCUUUUUUUUUCUCUAGACAUUAAAACUCAGUGAAGGCAAGACAAGUUUUCCUGUGCAUGAGUCUUCUUAGCUCAUGUUUCUCUCUCUUUAAAUUUUUUGCCUUAAUGUUUGCCUUGCUCAUCUAUGCUGUCACCUUCUUGGAAAGGUUAAAAAUACAGUUCAAACAUUAUCCUGGCUCUUUAGGUAACUCUUGUUCUCCUGGCUGCCUUCCAUACUAAACACACACACACACACACACACACACACACACACAUCCGUACAGAUUUUGUAACAACCAAAUAAAGUUCUAGCAAUAAAUUGAAUUAUUCUGCU